UAUCAGUUUCCGUGGGAGUGAGAAGCAUGGGGAAAUUUAGCCCAACUCAUUGCUUCGGUAGGCUGGCGA
rfam:Oryza glaberrima chromosome 5 Oglab05_0076_4, whole genome shotgun sequence.